GAGAUACAUUCAGGCCUUUGCAUCAUUUAAUGGUGUGAAGAGAAAGGAUAUCCAAAGUGAAAGUGGGUAUCAUGACAAUUGUAGAAUAGYRAUAUUUAACAAGUAAUCGAUGAGAAUAUCUGAUCUAUCAACUAGUUGGUAGUAUCGAGGACUACCAAGGUUAUAACGGAUAACGAGGAAUUAGGGUUUGACAUCGGAGAGGGAGCUUUCAAGAUGGCUACCACUUCCAAGGAAGGCAGCAGGCGCGUAAAUUACCCAAUUUCAACAGAUAGAAGAGGUAGUGACGA
rnacentral:rRNA from 1 species